rnacentral:rRNA from 1 species
CAGCAGCCGCGGGAACACAGAGGGUGCGAGCGUUAAUCGGAUUUACUGGGCGUAAAGCGUGCGUAGGCGGCUAAUUGAGUCGGAUGUGAAAUCCCCGAGCUUAACUUGGGAAUUGCAUUCGAUACUGGUUAGCUAGAGUGUGGGAGAGGAUGGUAGAAUUCCAGGUGUAGCGGUGAAAUGCGUAGAGAUCUGGAGGAAUACCGAUGGCGAAGGCAGCCAUCUGGCCUAACACUGACGCUGAGGUACGAAAGCAUGGGGAGCAAACAGGAUUAGAUACCCCCGUAGUCCCUGUCUCUUAUAC